CGUGUAGGCGGGAAAGAAAGUCAGAAGUGAAAUCCCAUGGCUUAACUGUGGAGCUGCUUCUGAAACUUCUUUUCUUGAGUGCUGGAGAGGAAAGUGGAAUUCCAAGUGUAGCGGUGAAAUGCGUAGAGAUUUGGAGGAACACCAGUGGCGAAGGCGGCUUUCUGGACAGUAACUGACGCUGAGGCGCGAAAGCGUGGGGAGCAAACAGGAUUAGAUGCCCUGGUAGUCCACGCUGUAAACGAUGGAUACUAGGUGUAGGAGGUAUCGACCCCUUCUGUGCCGGAGUUAACACAAUAAGUAUCCCACCUGGGGAGUACGGCCGCAAGGUUGAA
rnacentral:rRNA from 1 species